rnacentral:rRNA from 1 species
UACGUAGGUGGCAAGCGUUGUCCGGAUUUACUGGGCGUAAAGAGCGCGCAGGCGGUCGAAUAAGUCGAAUGUGAAAGCCCCCGGCUUAACUGGGGAGGGUCAUUCGAUACCGCUCGACUUGAAGGCAGGAGAGGGUAGUGGAAUUCCCGGUGUAGUGGUGAAAUGCGUAGAUAUCGGGAAGAACACCAGUGGCGAAAGCGCUCUACUGGGCCAUAACUGACACUGAGGGACGAAAGCUAGGGGAGCGAAAGGG